GAUGAAGAACGCAGCGAAAUGCGAUAAGUAAUGUGAAUUGCAGAAUUCAGUGAAUCAUCGAAUCUUUGAACGCACAUUGCGCCCCUUGGUAUUCCGAGGGGCAUGCCUGUUCGAGCGUCAUUAUAACCCCUCAAGCUCAGCUUGGUGUUGGGGCCUGCCGCACGGGCAGCCCUUAAAAUCAGUGGCGGUGCCAUCUGGCUCUAAGCGUAGUAAUUCUUCUCGCUAUAGAGUCACGGUGGAUGCUUGCCAUUAACCCCCAAUUUUCAAUGGUUGACCUCGGAUCAGGUAGGACUACCCGCUGAACUUAAGCAUAUCAAUAAGCGGAGGA
rnacentral:misc_RNA from 1 species